AGACCCGAAACCCGGUGAUCUAGCCAUGGGCAGGUUGAAGGUUGGGUAACACUAACUGGAGGACCGAACCGACUAAUGUUGAAAAAUUAGCGGAUGACCUGUGGCUGGGGGUGAAAGGCCAAUCAAACCGGGAGAUAGCUGGUUCUCCCCGAAAGCUAUUUAGGUAGCGCCUCGUGAAUUCAUCUCCGGGGGUAGAGCACUGUUUCGGCUAGGGGGCCAUCCCGGCUUACCAACCCGAUGCAAACUGCGAAUACCGGAGAAUGUUAUCACGGGAGACACACGGCGGGUGCUAACGUCCGUCGUGAAGAGGGAAACAACCCAGACCGCCAGCUAAGGUCCCAAAGUCAUGGUUAAGUGGGAAACGAUGUGGGAAGGCCCAGACAGCCAGGAUGUUGGCUUAGAAGCAGCCAUCAUUUAAAGAAAGCGUAAUAGCUCACUGGUCGAGUCGGCCUGCGCGGAAGAUGUAACGGGGCUAAACCAUGCACCGAAGCUGCGGCAGCGACACUGUGUGUUGUUGGGUAGGGGAGCGUUCUGUAAGCCUGCGAAGGUGGCCUGUGAGGGUUGCUGGAGGUAUCAGA
rnacentral:rRNA from 1 species